UUUCAAAAUCCCAUGCACUUU
rnacentral:piRNA from 1 species